rnacentral:lncRNA from 1 species
UCUCUCUCUCUCUCUCUCUGUAUAAUUAUAUAUAAACUCCCCAAAAGUGUUUGACCAUAGUAUCAGUUUUUAUAUUGAACACAAGCAUACACACUUUACACAAAAUGAGACCAUUACUAGCAGAAAUUGGCUGUGGAUCAUAUGAUCGACAAAUUCACCCUCAUCAAAAAUCCAUUUUCUUGCCAACUUUAUGCAAAAUAUCCAUCGAAGACGUUAAAAUAAACCACUCAAAAAAUCCAUCUUCCUCUUUCUUGAAUGACCCUUCAUCCCCUAAAGUCACCUGCAUAGGCCAAGUCAAGAGAAACAACAAAAUCAUUGCCUAUCCAACCACCAUCACCACCGCCAAAACCACUGUCAAGCACUAUAACACCACCACACACACCCAACUGAAAAACUUCAUUUCUAGCACCCUCGUGCCAGCCACCAAUAGUGGCGGUAAAAGAAGGUCCAAGAUCAAGGAUGGCAAUAAGAAAGUCAAUAUCAGUGAACUGGAUCCGCCAUUGCCGGUGGUGAAGACGGUGCAGCCACCGGGUGGCGGCUGUGAUGGUGUGAAUCUAUGGAAGAGAAGAAUUGAUGGAGUGGCACUGAAAAAUUUACAGAUCGAACAAAUUCAUUUGCAUAACAGGAAUUUUCUUCCACCCACUACUGUUUGAUGAUUGGAUUUCUUUUAUUCCACAUGAGGUAGACUUUCAGUCUUCGGCAAUUCUCUCUUAUUGUAAAUGAAUGAAUAAAUUAUAAGAUAAUAUUUUCAUUUCUUUUUUAUGCAAUUUUGAUAGGAAUAGCCAAGAUUUAUGUUUUUG